GAUGAACGCUGGCGGCGUGCCUAAUACAUGCAAGUCGAGCGAACGGACGAGAAGCUUGCUUCUCUGAUGUUAGCGGCGGACGGGUGAGUAACACGUGGAUAACCUACCUAUAAGACUGGGAUAACUUCGGGAAACCGGAGCUAAUACCGGAUUAUCUUUUGAACCGCAUGGUUCAAAAGUGAAAGAUGGUCUUGCUGUCACUUAUAGCUGGAACCGCGCUGCAUUAGCUAGUUGGUAAGGUAACGGCUUACCAAGGCAACGAUCCAUAGCCGACCUGAGAGGGUGACCGGCCAAACUGGAACUGAUACACGGUCCAGACUCCUACGGGAGGAAGCGGUAGGGAAUCUUCCGCAAUGGGCGAAAGCCGGACGGAGCAACGCCGCGUGAGUGAUGAAGGUCUUCGGAUCGUAAAACUCUGUUAUUAGGGAAGAACAUAUGUGUAAGUAACUGUGCACAUCGUGACGGUACCUAAUCAGAAAGCCACGGCUAACUACGUG
rnacentral:rRNA from 1 species